CACCAAGUUCUCGUUGAUUGAACUGUGAUGCUACAAAUUCUAGAAGCUCUGUGGUGGGUAACACAAAUUUUGUGUCACAAGUUGAGUAACUUGUCUCCACCUCCUCUGUUGCAGUUUUCAGAAAAUCAAAUUGAAUGUAUUUUUGAGAAGUGCAGUGCAAUACAGAUUACCCAACAAAAUCGAAGGAAACUUUUGGAGCUGUAUCAAGUGAAGACAUUAUCAGAAAGUUUCAUUGAUCUUCUUGCUUACUAAGAGAGACUUAAAAGACUUUUGUUCUUUUUUAAAGUGAUGUAAUUUUAUAUUUUGAAGUUGGGAUAUGGGAGUUUUAUGUUUUGAUUAGAUUAGUUUUAAAGUUGUCCUGUUUGCAGAUUGCUAGAAUAGUUAUAGCAAUUGAUUUUCCUA